rnacentral:rRNA from 1 species
ACAGUGGACGCGAGCAUCUUUGUUGUAAGUAAUGAAGAGCGUACGGUGGAUGCCUUGGCACCAGGAGCCGAUGAAGGACGUAGGAGGCUGCGAUAAGCCUCGGGGAGCUGUCAACCGAGCUGUGAUCCGAGGAUGUCCGAAUGGGGAAACCCAGCACGAGUGAUGUCGUGUUACCCGCGCCUGAAUAUAUAGGGCGUGUGGAGGGAACGUGGGGAAGUGAAACAUCUCAGUACCCACAGGAAGAGAAAACAACCGUGAUUCCGUGAGUAGUGGCGAGCGAAAGCGGAAGAGGCUAAACCAUGGGUGUGUGAUAGCCGGCAGGUGUUGCAUUCGUGGGGUUGUGGGGUUCAUUUUGUCAAUACUGCCGUGUUGGCCAACAGUAAGAAAUCACAGGGUUAGUGGAAGUGGUCUGGAACGGCCUGUCGUAGAGGGUGAGAAUCCCGUACACGAAAACUUUGUGACUGUUGUAAUGGAAACCCAAGUAGCACCGGGCCCGUGAAAUCUGGUGUGAAUCUGUCGGGACCACCCGAUAAGCCUGAAUACUCCCUGGUGACCGAUAGCGGACUAGUACCGUGAGGGAAAGGUGAAAAGUACCCCGGGAGGGGAGUGAAAUAGUACCUGAAACCGUGCGCUUACAAUCCGUCAGAGCCUUCGAGCAGUUUACUGCUGGGGGUGAUGGCGUGCCUUUUGAAGAAUGAGCCUGCGAGUUAGUGGCAUGUCGCGAGGUUAACCCGUGUGGGGUAGCCGUAGCGAAAGCGAGUCCGAAUAGGGCGAUCGUAGUGGCAUGCUCUAGACCCGAAGCGGAGUGAUCUACCCAUGGCCAGGUUGAAGCGACGGUAAGACGUCGUGGAGGACCGAACCCACUUAGGUUGAAAACUGAGGGGAUGAGUUGUGGGUAGGGGUGAAAGGCCAAUCAAACUCCGUGAUAGCUGGUUCUCCCCGAAAUGCAUUUAGGUGCAGCGUCGCGUGUUUCUCACCGGAGGUAGAGCUACUGGAUGGUCUAGGGGGCCCACAAGCUUACCGAAAUCAGCCAAACUCCGAAUGCCGGUGAGUGAGAGCGCGGCAGUGAGACUGCGGGCGAUAAGGUUCGUAGUCGAGAGGGAAACAGCCCAGAUCGCCAGCUAAGGUCCCUAAGCGUGUACUAAGUGGAAAAGGAUGUGGGGUCGCGAAGACAACCAGGAGGUUGGCUUAGAAGCAGCCACCCUUGAAAGAGUGCGUAAUAGCUCACUGGUCAAGUGAUCCUGCGCCGACAAUGUAGCGGGGCUCAAGUACACCACCGAAGCUGCGGCAUUCACGCAAUAGCCCCC